rnacentral:snRNA from 1 species
GUGCUCACUUAGGCAGCAAGUCUACUAAAAGUAGAAUGGUAACAGAUAAAAUUAAUACGACCCCUGCCCAAGGAUGACACACAAAUUCAUGCUGUUCCUUUUGUUUGU